GGGCUGCCCGAAUCUGUGAGUGCCACACGAGUUGUAGUUGCGUGUUCUUUUCCACAUCUCUGCGUGCACUGACCACUUGGGACCGGAGUGUUUGCCACUGGGAAGCACGGGGAGCUUUCACGAAAGCACGCCGAGAGGAUAUCCACAUAACCGUGGGCAGCAGCGGGGUCUGAAGUCCCGCUUUGGAGUGAGGACUCUUGCGUCAGGGUGCGGCCUGUGUGUGUGCCGUGCAGGUGUGUUUGUGGACACAUCGAUGCAAGUGUGGAUUUUGGUCGUGGUGAACAGUGUUGGCUUGGCUGAGUCUGCAUGAGUCCAGCACUUCUCUGUGGGAACCCUUCGUCCUUUUGUGUGCCGUGCUGGAGCACACGUCUUAUGGGAAGCAGCUGGGGGAACUGGAGUGCUUUGGUCUGGAGAAGAGAAGGCUCGGGAGAGACCUUGUGACUCUCCAGUUGCCUGGAAAGAGGUUGUGGAGGGGUGAGGGUUGGCCUCUUCUCCUGUGUAACUAAUGAUAAGACUGGAGAGAGUGAUCUUAAGUUACACCAGUGGAGAUUCAGGUUGGGUAUUAGGAAAAAUUUUUUCCCAUGAAGAGUGAUGAUGUGAUGCACAGGCUGCCCAGGGAUGUGGUGCAGUCUCUGUUCUUGGAGGUGUUCAAGGAAAGUGGAGAUAUGAGACCAAGAGAUGUGGUCAGGAGGCAUGACAGGAGUGGGUUGACGGUUGGACUGGGUGGUGUUAGUGGUGUUUUCUGACCUUAUGUUUCUGUGUUGAAGGAGGGCACUCUUUAUGGGUAAAAUUGGAAAACUCUGGCACGUGGAGUGUGCGUCAGCUGCUCUUGGGUAACUGUCCCUUUACAUAAUUGUGUUGUUAGGGAAACAAGCUACAAGUUGAUGGUUUGUUUUAUGGACAACAGUGGAGUUGUCCUGUGCUGAGAGUUGCCUUCUCCUUCCAACUGAUCUUCUAUAACUUCAUAUAGCACUUGUUGCUGUGCCAAAAUGUUUGGGUUGGCUUCAGGCUGGCACAGGUGCUACUGAACAUCUGCAUUUAGCUUACAAAAGGAUGAUGUGAUAGAUUGUCAUAAGAUUCAUUUUCAGUUUUGAUUUCCAGCAGACUGCUCCCUUUUCCCCCAUAAUCUGACAAUGUGUCAGAGGAGAAAUUUAGAGGGAAUGCUUUGGGAAAAAUAUCUGAGAAGUAAUUUCAUAGAAUAUUUUAGAGGUACAGAGAUACAGUGCUGCUGUGCAGACCUAGAAAAGAGGAAGACAAGAAGUCGGUCAUUUUGUUGAGACUGCAUCAGAUAAGGUAUUUUUUUUUCUAAAUAGAGUGUACAUAAGGGAACUUCUUCUACCACUAGAACUGCACAAGCUUUUAGGUUCUGUUCUGUUUGUUUUUUUUUCCCUUUUAAACACCAAAAGCUGUCAACAUUAGUGACCAAACAACUUUCCCAUGAGGAAGUUUGGGAGACAAGCUUUCCUUCCCAUCCCCCAGUUUAAAAGUAAAUGAAAAAUCAUGCAAAGUUCAGUUGGGCACUGCUGGACCAGCAGUUGGGUGAUGCAAGGAAUAUUAUCUGUUGUUUGCCACAGCACGAGUUUCUUUAAUUUCAUGUGUACUAUGAUUGAUGUCCUGGACUUUAAAAUAAAUAAUAAGAAGAAAAUCUGUACUUCUGUUUUUUUGUUUUUGUUUUAAGGGCAGAGGGGGUCAUCUGUUACAGUAUUUCAUUUUAUUUUUUCUAAAGAUAACUUUGGAGUACCAAAAGCAUCCGUAUUUCAAAAGGUUUGAAGUAAGAAAUACAUCGCUUUUGACACUUUUGGAUACAGAAAUCAGUAGAUUUCUGCUAAAAAUCAUCUUUUUCAUUGCACUUUUUUUUUUUGGGUGUGAUACAUGUCUAAACCACUUAAACUUAAUUUUUGUUUUGGUUUGUUUUUUUUUUUCCUCCUUCUCUCAAGAGUGUUAAUAUUUGAUGUAUUUGCUUCCUUCUUUGGUGGUUGCUAGUUCCCUUUUAGACAAAGCAAAUCUCAUCAGGUAGACUGCUGUAAAAAAUGAUUUUUAUAUCUUAGAGCUCUUCAAUUCUGAUUUAAUUCAUUUCUUAAGUAAACAUGUUUACUAAUGUGGACUACUGUAGUGUGAAUAGGGUGUAGCUGGUACCAUCCACACAGCAGUCUGAGUAGGUGUGUCACCUGUUUCUGUUGAGGCCGUAGUGCAGCUUGUUUACAGUUUACUGCUCAUUAGUUCAAGCACUCCAGCAACUUUCCUUUUCUUCCUCCCUCUUUACUUGCUGGUUCAGGUCAGCUGAGCUUCCUGAGCCGGGGACUAGUUGGAAAUCACUGGACUCAGCUGGAAUGUUUGGAGAGAGCCAAGGUUGGCAGCUCUACGUUCUGUGGGGUGUGCCAAAGUCUAUUAGGCGCAUGUUUCUCCUACAAAUAAUGCCCUUCUGACCAGGAGUAGCAGGUCUGAAGUAACAGGGAAGCCUCACACCUGCAGCUGGAUCUAAACAUGCACAUGGGAAGCAGACCCCAGUGUUUCAGUGUGCCAUCACAAACAAAACUUCGGCUUUCUGUCUGCCCGUGUUCCACGCAUGUCAUCUGUGGGCAGAUGACUGCACGACACCAUAAAGGACUGCUGUGACAAUGAGUACUGAGAUUUCUCUACUUUGGUGCCUCCAGACUCCACCUCUUCUCCUUUCAUCCUCUGAGGAGGAACUUAAUAAACUUUUUGUAUGUGUUAACAUGGCAUGCAGUCAUAAAAGCUACUAGCGGUGUACUGAAUAGUAAAGAUGCAUUUAAAUUAAAAAAGAAAAAAAGAAAAAAAGAAAAAGUGUGUAUUGUUGUGGUUCUGGAGCAUUCUUUGUUUUUUGAGAGCAUCACAAGACAGUGGACACCUUGAUAAAAUGCUGUAAAUAAAUGCAGAAGAGGUGCAUGUCUA